rnacentral:rRNA from 1 species
UACGAAGGGGGCUAGCGUUGCUCGGAAUCACUGGGCGUAAAGCGCACGUAGGCGGACUCUUAAGUCAGGGGUGAAAUCCUGGAGCUCAACUCCAGAACUGCCUUUGAUACUGGGAGUCUCGAGUUCGGGAGAGGUGAGUGGAACUGCGAGUGUAGAGGUGAAAUUCGUAGAUAUUCGCAAGAACACCAGUGGCGAAGGCGGCUCACUGGCCCGAUACUGACGCUGAGGAGCGAAAGCAUGGGGAGCGAACAGG